GGCUCAUCUUCGCCCAGCCAGGACACGCAGGAUCGCGUUACCUGUCCCUCCCGCGGGCACGUUGGGAGUUGUAGUCUUAUUAUGUAUUUCCGCCCUUAGUGUGGGGAGAGCGGGAACUACUCGACCCACAGAGCCGAUCGCGGAGCGGAUUCUGCUUUUAGGAGUACCCGCCAACAAGCGGGACCGAGCAGGAAUCAGCAUCUGGGAACAGAAUGAACGGAGACCAGAAAUCAGAUGUUUAUGCCCAAGAAAAGCAGGAUUUUGUUCAGCACUUCUCCCAGAUCGUUAGGAUGCUGACUGAGGAUGAGAUGGGGCACCCAGAGACAGGAGAUGCUAUUGCCCGGCUCAAGGAGGUCCUGGAGUACAAUGCCAUUGGAGGCAAGUAUCACCGGGGUUUGACGGUGGUAGUAGCAUUCCGGGAGCUGGUGCAGCCAAGGAAACAGGAUGCUGAUAGUCUCCAGCGGGCCCGGACUGUGGGCUGGUGUGUGGAACUGCUGCAAGCUUUCUUCCUGGUGGCAGAUGACAUCAUGGAUUCAUCCCUCACCCGCCGGGGACAGAUCUGCUGGUAUCAGAAGCCAGGCGUGGGUUUGGAUGCCAUCAAUGAUGCUAACCUCCUGGAAGCAUGUAUCUACCGCCUGCUGAAGCUCUAUUGCCGGGAGCAGCCCUAUUACCUGAACCUGAUUGAGCUCUUCCUGCAGAGUUCCUAUCAGACUGAGAUUGGGCAGACUCUGGACCUCAUCACAGCCCCCCAGGGCAAUGUGGAUCUUGUCAGAUUCACUGAAAAGAGGUACAAAUCUAUUGUCAAGUACAAGACAGCUUUCUACUCCUUCUACCUUCCUAUAGCUGCAGCCAUGUACAUGGCAGGAAUUGAUGGCGAGAAGGAGCAUGCCAAUGCCAAGAAGAUCCUGCUGGAGAUGGGGGAGUUCUUUCAGAUUCAG
rnacentral:sRNA from 1 species